rnacentral:rRNA from 1 species
UGGGGAAUUUUGCACAAUGGGGGAAACCCUGAUGCAGCGACGCCGCGUGAUUUAGAAGGCCUUCGGGUUGUAAAAAUCUUUUUUACGGGAUGAAAAUGACAGUACCGUAAGAAUAAGGUCCGGCUAAAUACGUGCCAGCAGCCGCGGUAAUACGUAUGGACCGAGCGUUGUCCGGAAUCAUUGGGCGUAAAGGGUACGUAGGCGGCCUAGUAAGUUAGAAGUGAAAUAAUAUAGCUCAACUAUAUAAAGCUUUUAAAACUGCUAGGCUUGAGAGAUGGAAGGGACAGUGGAAUUCCUAGUGUAGCGGUGAAAUGCGCAGAUAUUAGGAAGUAUACCGGUGGAGAAGGCGACUUUCUGGUCAUCAUCUGACGCUGAGGUACGAAAGCGUGGGUAGCAAACAGG